rnacentral:ncRNA from 1 species
ACCUGAAAAAGGCAACCGCUUCGAAAGAUGCGGGCGCAAAGUGACGGGCCUAAGGGACUAGCUAUGGCAGCCGAACUACCAGG